AAUUUUGGACAAUGGGGGAAACCCUGAUCCAGCCAUCCCGCGUGUAUGAUGAAGGCCUUCGGGUUGUAAAGUCCUUUUGGCAGAGAAGAUAAGGCAUCCCCUAAUACGGGAUGCUGCUGACCGUAUCUGCAGAGUAAGCACCGGAUAACUGCGUGCCCGAAGCAGCGGUAAUACGUAGGGUGCAAGCGUUAAUCGGAAUUACUGGACAUAAAGCGUGUGUAGGCGGUUCGAAAAGAAAGAUGUGAAAUCCCAGGGCUCAACCUUGGAACUGCAUUUUUAACUGCCGAGCUAGAGUAUGUCAGAGGGGGGUAGAAUUCCACGUGUAGCAGUGAAAUGCGUAGAUAUGUGGAGGAAUACCGAUGGCGAAGGCAGCCCCCUGGGAUAAUACUGACGCUCAGACACGAAAGCGUGGGGAGCAAACAGG
rnacentral:rRNA from 1 species